rnacentral:rRNA from 1 species
UACAGAGGUCCCAAGCGUUGUUCGGAUUCACUGGGCGUAAAGGGUGCGUAGGUGGUGAGGUAAGUCGGAUGUGAAAGCUCGGAGCUCAACUCCGAAAUGGCAUUGGAAACUACCUUGCUCGAGGGUUGGAGGGGGGACUGGAAUACUUGGUGUAGCAGUGAAAUGCGUAGAUAUCAAGUGUAACACCAGUGGCGAAGGCGAGUCCCUGGACAACUCCUGACACUGAGGCACGAAAGCUAGGGGAGCAAACAGG